GACGAACGCUGGCGGCGUGCCUAACACAUGCAAGUUGAGCGACGAACCAGGGCUUGCCCUGGGGCAAAGCAGCGAACGGGUGAGUAACACGUGGGUAACCUACCCCGAUAACCGGGACAACCCGAGGAAACUCGGGCUAAUACCGGAUGUGCUCACUGGACUUCGGUUCAGUGCGUAAAGGAAGCUUCGGCCUCCGUAUCGGGAGGGGCCCGCGGCCCAUUAGGUAGUUGGUGAGGUAACGGCUCACCAAGACCGCGAUGGGUAGCUGGGCUGAGAGGACGAUCAGCCACACUGGGACUGAGACACGGCCCAGACUCCUACGGGAGGCAGCAGUGGGGAAUCUUGCGCAAUGCGCGAAAGCGUGACGCAGCAACGCCGCGUGGGGGAAGAAGGCCUUCGGGUUGUAAACCCCUUUCAGGAGGGACGAAGGUUCGGCGGUGAAUAGCCGUCCGGACUGACGGUACCUGCACAAGAAGCCCCGGCUAACUACGUGCCAGCCGCCGCAGUAA
rnacentral:rRNA from 1 species